rnacentral:rRNA from 1 species
GACAGAGGGGGCAAGCGUUGCUCGGAAUCACUGGGCGUAAAGGGCGCGUAGGCGGGAUGGCAAGUCAGUCGUGAAAUCUCUCGGCUCAACCGAGAAACGUCGGCUGAUACUGCCGUUCUUGAGGGAUGCAGAGGAGACUGGAAUUCCCGGUGUAGCGGUGAAAUGCGUAGAUAUCUGGAGGAACACCGGUGGCGAAGGCGACAUCCUGGACCAACACUGACGCUGAGGAGCGAAAGCCAGGGGAGCAAACGGG